CCGGUCUGAACUCAGAUCACGUAAGAAUUUAAAAGUCGAACAGACUUAAUUUUUAAGCUUCUACACCUAAAUUUAUUUCUUAAUCCAACAUCGAGGUCGCAAUAUUUUUUAUCAAUAUGAACUCUCCAAAAAAAUUACGCUGUUAUCCCUAAAGUAACUUAUUCUAAUAAUCAAUAUUAUUGGAUCAAUAAUUCAUAAAUUAAUGUUCAAUAAAAUUAAAAGUUAAUUAAAUUUUAAUAUCACCCCAAUAAAAUAUUUAAAUUAAAUUAAAUAAUUUAAUUUCUAAUUUAUAAAAAUUAAUUAAAAUAUAAAGAUUUAUAGGGUCUUCUCGUCUUUUAAUAUUAUUUUAGCUUUUUUACUAAAAAAUAAAAUUUUAUCAAAAAUUAAUAUGAAACAGUAAAUAUUUCGUCCAACCAUUCAUUCCAGCCUUCAAUUAAAAGACUAAUGAUUAUGCUACCUUUGCACAGUUAAUAUACUGCGGCCAUUUAAUUUUAUCAGUGGGCAGGUUAAACUUUUWAUUUAUMCUCAAAAAGAGAUGUUUUUGUUAAACAGGCG
rnacentral:rRNA from 1 species